UUUUUUUUUUAGAAAAAUAUUCCAUCUCCUAAGUAAACAUUUCUGUCUCCUAAGUUCUACUUAGGCUACAAAAUGUAGUUCCGUCUCCUAAGUGAUUCAUAUAAAUUUUUUUAAUUUUAUUUUUUCAAAAUGCCGUUGUCUAAGUAAAAUUUCGUCUCCUAAGAACAACUUAGGAGACGAAAACUGUUUCGUCGCCUAAAUAGAAAAUUUCGUCGCUUAAGUACCACUUAGGAGACAGAAUUUUUUAAUUUCGUCGCCUAAGUGCUAUUUUCCUAUAGUGAGGUUCAUAUUGGGGUCAGUAGGACCUCAUAUUGGGGGCAGUAUGACCUUGUGCUUCAAUCACUUAUAACAUGUCCCUAUUGGAGUCAGUAGGACCACCUAUUAGGGUCAGUAGGAUCUCCUAUUGGGGUCAGUAGGACAUCCUAUUAGGGUUAGUAUGACCCUGUGCUUUUGUCACUUAUAACAUGUCCCUAUUGGGGUCAGUAUGACCACCUAUUGGGGUCAGUAGGACCUCUUAUUGGGGACAGUAUGACCCUUGAAUUUAACUGUGUGCUUCAGUCACUUAUAGCAGGUCCCUAUUGGGGGCAGUAUGACCAUCUAUUGGGAUCAGUAUGACCUCCUACUGGGGGCAGUAGGACCCUUGAUAAAUGACACUAAUUUCACCAAUUUAAUGCUAAUUACAGUCUAAUUACAAUAUUGUUUCAGCCUCAUUAUUCUCAUUCAUUCUAACCAUACCGACUAAACAACAGUGAAGUUAUAACGAGGAAUGCAUGAUUCUAAAAGAAUAAUGAACCAUUCAUUAGAUAUGUGUUGCAAUGCAUUAGCAAGAAGUCUCCUCUCAGUAUCACACAUACUCAUCCUUCCCCAUUUGGCCACCUGCUGAGGACAACAACUAAAAUAAAUAAAUAAAUAAAUAUAUAUAUAUACAAUGUUGAUUAGGUGCGGACGUCCGCACCAAUGUUUUUGGUGCGGAUUUCUAUUUUUUAGACCACUUCUCGAUCGAAUUUCCUUAAACUUCCUUCUAGACAUAUCUAGAUCAUCUUGUGUAGAUUAUCUUUGCAAAAUUUCAGCCAAUUUAGUAAUCAUUAAGGCCCUCAAACUUGAAUUUUUCUGUUAUAUACCUGAACCGGACAGAAUUCAGUCUGUCAGAUUUGUUUUUCGAUUUUGAGGGCCUUAACGAUCACCAAAUUGGCUGAAAUUUUGCAGAGAUGAUCUACACAAGAUGAUCUAGAUAUGUUUAGAAGAAAGUUUGAGGAAAUUCGAUCGGGAAGGGGUGCAAAAAUGGAAAUCCGCACCAAAAACUUUGGUGCGGACGUCCGCACCUGAUUAGCACUAUAUAUAUAUAUAUAUAUAUAUAUAUUACAACUUUACAAGAUAUAGUGUCUGAACAACAAUGAAUCUACAAAGUCAAGCAUGAAAUAGUUUAACCAAAAAGCCACAAGAAUAGAAUGAUCCCGAGAUAAUCUAUAAUUUUGAGUGAAGAGUACUUUACAUUAGCUGUUAAACACAUACUAUUGUAUUAGAUGCAUUUAGGUAUGUAGCUGUGUUUUUCUUCUUAUAGACAUCUCUUGUAAAAAUUAUAAAUGAGGCCAAUACUCUAAAGAACAAAACUAAGUAGAAACACAGAGAAGCAUCAAAGUUUUCUAUUACAUACAUUUGUAAGUCAAAUCCAGCGGCCCGUAUUCUGUCACACCCCGGUUCUUAAGUUAUUUUACGGUUAUUUACUUUGGUAUUAUUUUGGUCUUUUACCGUGUUAAGUAACCGUUUAUAACUUAAGGACCCUAGAGUUGACUUUUUCCUGCGUUUGGAAUUUGGGAAAACUUUCUUCAUAAAAGUUGUAGAGGACGUUAUUACGAGUUCGUAGACAUGCUAUGUGUUAAAAUCGGAAUUAGCAUGAAAAAGUUAUGAUUUAAAAGAGUAAUUUUUGGAGAUGGUAAAAAUGUGGUAAAAAAAUGUAGUGGGUGUAAAUUUUUUUCAGUUGGGUUAUUGCUGGGCUGGGCCAGCUGAGGAGCAGCCCAACGGCCCCC
rnacentral:lncRNA from 1 species